CUUCCUUUCUUUGUAGCCACCUCAGGGGAAGCAACAGAUCGUCACUCGGUGUUCUCACCGAAAGCACGUAAUCGCCCGGUGUAACUCAUGUUGGCUGGGGGGCCUCCCCGCGCGCAGAAAGGCUGGGGUGCGCCCCCGGGCAGCUCUCCUUUGCUCAGCUACAUGGUCCUGGUCCACGAGUGCUCUGAGGGCGGCAAGAGAGCGCAACUCCUGACGCCUCCCCCCAUUCCCCGGAACCCCUUCUCCUCACUGCCUGUAGGGGUUCGGAGUGACUCCUCAGAGCCAGAGGUACUUCGGCUCACCGGUCCACAAGCUGCCUGGUCUGCUGAAGCUGACGAAUCGGGAAACCAUGCAAUUGAGGCGAACCUUGGGCUGUUUUAGAGGCGCUGAGGAGCUUUCUCCUGGGAGGCCCAUGGUUGAUUUCAGCCCACCAGGAUCUGGGGAAGACCCAACUAGGGAUAAGAGAACACCGGAAGGCCAAGUCCGAGUUCCAUUCCUAAAAGAGGCGGCUGCGGGCAAGGCUAUGACAUUGGCCCUGGAUAUUAGCUUCCCAGGAGCUGCUCUUUCUCAAGAACUCCACAGGACGGGGCUGUCUCCAGAAAAUGCUCUUCAACGUUUAUUUCCUUUAAUCGUCGCCCGGAGCCCUAAGGCGGCUAAUGCAAGAGGCCAAAAAUGUUUGGAGGAAGAAAAACAAAGGCAGGAAGUGGCCGCGGCCUGACGGUGCGUGUGUGUCUGUAAAGAAGGGAGGGAGCCGGUUCAACCUCCCCUUGUUUUCCCGAACUUCAAGGUCUAGGCAGACCCCCUUAGGGCCUUGCCGAGGCUCCCCCCCGGCGGCGCAGCAUUUGGAGGUGGCCAACGAUUUAAACCUCGUCGGGCUGAAAGGAGAUUUGAUCGACAGAACAAACCAACCCUUUUCGGAGGUUUCUUUUGAUUUGGUCCUGAAGGGUAUAUGCUAGUGUCCACAGCGGCUGGGUGGCUGCUGUUUUCCUCCUGCCGAGCUAAAAGUACCAAGAAGGGAGGGAGGGAGAUUCAAGCACCUUGCGCUGGCUGCACUCUCCUUCUGAGAAUAUCAGAAUAAAGUGUAUUCAGGUGCCUCUGC
rnacentral:lncRNA from 1 species